rnacentral:rRNA from 1 species
CCUACGGGGGGCUGCAGUGAGGAAUAUUGGUCAAUGGACGAGAGUCUGAACCAGCCAAGUAGCGUGAAGGAUGACUGCCCUAUGGGUUGUAAACUUCUUUUAUAUGGGAAUAAAACGUUCCACGUGUGGGAUUUUGUAUGUACCAUAUGAAUAAGGAUCGGCUAACUCCGUGCCAGCAGCCGCGGUAAUACGGAGGAUCCGAGCGUUAUCCGGAUUUAUUGGGUUUAAAGGGUGCGUAGGUGGAUUGUUAAGUCAGUUGUGAAAGUUUGCGGCUCAACCGUAAAAUUGCAGUUGAAACUGACAGUCUUGAGUACAGUAGAGGUGGGCGGAAUGCGUGGUGUAGCGGUGAAAUGCUUAGAUAUCACGAAGAACUCCGAUUGCGAAGGCAGUUCACUGGACUGCAACUGACACUGAGGCUCGAAAGUGUGGGUAUCAAACAGGAUUAGAUACCCGUGUAGUC